AGGUCUCAUGGCAGAAUGAAGGAAUUUACCAAAGCCAAGCCCUUUGACUCUGGGCCUAUCUAUUUCUUUGAUCAGUUGAAACCUGAACGGAAAGAUGGGAAAAGAUAACCUGUGAAGAAAGUUAUCCCACCCAAAAUGCACCUCAAGAGCUAAGUGUUGGAUCUUUCAACAUCCUUACUCAAAAUGGGAAAUUCUGAAGUGGAAGACAGUCCCCAGUAUAGCUGUGAAGAGACUACAAGUAGCCAUAAUUCAAAUCAAAAUAGAAGAAGCAAAGCAAAAAAAAGAGGGCGUCAACAAACAACUUAUCCGGCGCCGCUAUGAGGACCUGGAAGGCGUGGAGGAGAGCAGGGAUCAGCAGUGCUCACAGAGUUUCUGGCUGGAGCUGCUGGAGAAGAAGCCUCAGAUGCCAAUUGUCAAAAAGGCUGACCCCAACAUGAAAAAAUUCCAUUACGCUCUGG
rnacentral:lncRNA from 1 species